CGUGGGCUGCUAUAAUGCAGUCAGCGAGCUGAAUUCAAAGAUUCCUUCGGGAUGAUUUGUUGGACGCUAGCGGCGGAUGGGUGAGUAACACGUGGGCAAUCUGCCCUAAAGACUGGGAUACCACUUGGAAACAGGUGCUAAUACCGGAUAACAACAUGAAUCGCAUGAUUCAAGUUUGAAAGGCGGCGCAAGCUGUCACUUUAGGAUGAGCCCGCGGCGCAUUAGCUAGUUGGUGGGGUAAAGGCCUACCAAGGCAAUGAUGCGUAGCCGAGUUGAGAGACUGAUCGGCCACAUUGGGACUGAGACACGGCCCAAACUCCUACGGGAGGCAGCAGUAGGGAAUCUUCCACAAUGGACGCAAGUCUGAUGGAGCAACGCCGCGUGAGUGAAGAAGGUUUUCGGAUCGUAAAGCUCUGUUGUUGGUGAAGAAGGAUAGAGGCAGUAACUGGUCUUUAUUUGACGGUAAUCAACCAGAAAGUCACGGCUAACUACGUGCCAGCAGCCGCGGUAAUACGUAGGUGGCAAGCGUUGUCCGGAUUUAUUGGGCGUAAAGCGAGCGCAGGCGGAAUGAUAAGUCUGAUGUGAAAGCCCACGGCUCAACCGUGGAACUGCAUCGGAAACUGUCAUCCUUGAGUGCAGAAGAGGAGAGUGGAACUCCAUGUGUAGCGGUGGAAUGCGUAGAUAUAUGGAAGAACACCAGUGGCGAAGGCGGCUCUCUGGUCUGCAACUGACGCUGAGGCUCGAAAGCAUGGGUAGCGAACAGGAUUAGAUACCCUGGUAGUCCAUGCCGUAAACGAUGAGCGCUAGGUGUUGGGGACUUUCCGGUCCUCAGUGCCGCAGCAAACGCAUUAAGCGCUCCGCCUGGGGAGUACGACCGCAAGGUUGAAACUCAAAGGAAUUGACGGGGGCCCGCACAAGCGGUGGAGCAUGUGGUUUAAUUCGAAGCAACGCGAAGAACCUUACCAGGUCUUGACAUCCUGCGCAACACCUAGAGAAUA
rnacentral:rRNA from 1 species